GACACUGGGCAGAUGUGUUUUCAUUGCACCGUAAGAUAAAUGCAGUGUUAAAUGCCUGACAACUUCCCAGAAGCAAUCAGCAAAAGUUUACGAGUGCAUAAACCUCAAAGACCAUUCCUCGGGUAUUUUUUAUAAGCCCCGCAUUUAAAGCUUCUAUAAAUUCUUCUGCCUGCUUCCAAACCAAAGUUACUGGUGACUAUUAAACAGCCACCUUCUUCAGGGAGCCCAGAGGAGUGUGAUCCAGGAUGGCUCACACCAAAUGCGACUGGAAGAAGCAACAUCAGAGCCAUUCAAUCGUCCAGCUCCCAAACUGCUUACAGAGCAGGUGAAUACACCAUCCGAAAAGUUUCAAGCAAAAGAGAAAGGCAGGAUUAAUGAAGCCAUAUAUCAGCCAGAGAGAUUUCGCAGAAAGCCUCUCUUCGACGAAACAAACUGGGAGCAGUAAAAGGUGAAAAUUCAAACGUCUCUGUUGUUGUAGCCUGGUCCUUUCUUUUCCUGAAACAAGGCACCCAACUGUUCUGAUAUUACCAUUCAAAACCAGGUUCUGUGGCGAACCUCAUUUGUGAAUCUAUUACAGAGAUUAAUAGAUUAUUUCUCCUUUUUCAACUAUUUCUCAGUGGGCAAAUUUAACCAUAUGGUAAGGAGAGAAUUAGAAUUUCAUCACAUUAGAGCAAAAUGUAAUGAAAAGAGUCCAACACCUGGGGCCAUCUCGGAAAGACACAAUUAAAAGGUUUUUAAUGAAACCAGAGAAACCAAAAAUUUCAGAGCCUUCGGUAAUUCUGCCACAACUGAAUGGUGCACUGGAGGUGUUGGGGAAUAUUGUUUUUACUGAUGUCAUAAGAAUGAAAACCUGCCUCUAAAUACCAUGUGCUUUCAAUGCGAUUACAAUAAAAGGAGAAAAGGCUGCUUGUCUCUAUUAUUAGAGGAUCAGCAGGACGCAUUUUAGACAAGUACAUGUGUUUACACUUCAGUGGGAGAGCUCGACUGGAAGGAAAGUGGGCCUUAAGGUGAAGAGUUUUAGCUGAAGCCUAAGAAAUAGAAAUACAUGGCGGAUAAUAUUAAUGAAUUACAUGAUCUCAAGUUGAUCUGAUACAUUCAGAUGC